AGUUGGGCACUUUAGCGAGACUGCCGGUGACAAACCGGAGGAAGGUGGGGAUGACGUCAAGUCCUCAUGGCCCUUAUGGGUAGGGCUUCACACGUCAUACAAUGGUCGGUACAGAGGGUUGCCAACCCGCGAGGGGGAGCCAAUCCCAGAAAGCCGAUCGUAGUCCGGAUUGGAGUCUGCAACUCGACUCCAUGAAGUCGGAAUCGCUAGUAAUCGUGGAUCAGCAUGCCACGGUGAAUACGUUCCCGGGUCUUGUACACACCGCCCGUCACACCAUGGGAGUGGGUUUCACCAGAAGCAGGUAGCCUAACCGCGAGGGGGGCGCUUGCCACGGUGAGAUUCAUGACUGGGGUGAAGUCGUAACAAGGUAGCCGUAUCGGAAGGUGCGGCUGGAUCACCUCCUUU
rnacentral:rRNA from 1 species